GACGAACGCUGGCGGCGUGCUUAACACAUGCAAGUCGAACGGGCCUUGUCCCCUUUUUUUUUGGGGGUGGGGUUAGUGGCGAACGGGUGAGUAACACGUGAGUAACCUGCCCCUCCCUUCUGGAUAACCGCUUGAAAGGGUGGCUAAUACGGGGUGUUCUGGCCUGCUCGCAUGGGUGGGUUUGGAAAGAUUCGACCGGUGUUGGUUGUUUUGGUGGGGGAUGGGCUCGCGGCCUAUCAGCGUGUUGGUGGGGUGAUGGCCUGCCAAGGCUUUGACGGGUAGCCGGCCUGAGAGGGUGGGCGGUCACACUGGGACUGAGACACGGCCCAGACUCCUACGGGAGGCAGCAGUGGGGAAUAUUGCACAAUGGGCGCAAGCCUGAUGCAGCGACGCCGCGUGAGGGAUGGAGGCCUUCGGGUUGUGAACCUCUUUCGCCAGUGAAGAAGGUCCUGCUCUUUGUGGUGGGGUUGACGGUAGCUGGGUUAAUGAAGCGCCGGCUAACUACGUG
rnacentral:rRNA from 1 species